UAAGUUCUUAUUAUGAUAUGUGACAAACAUAAUUAAAAAUUAAAAAUUUUUAAAAAUAUAUAAAUAAAUAGAAAAGCAUAAUUUUUUCAAAUUUCGAAUGAACCUGAACAAAUGGUGUCCAAGUUCAUUCAAAUCUAGACACUCAUGUGUCCAUAUUCAAAUUUUUUUAUUAAUUUUAUAUGGUUAUGGCUUCUUCUUUUUUU
rnacentral:lncRNA from 1 species